AUCCAGCUGACGAGUUCCAAAUAAAACGAAACGCGCGUGCUGGGAU
rnacentral:hammerhead_ribozyme from 1 species